GGGGUGCCUGUGGCACUGCAGAAAGUGGGCCUGAGCCUCGAGGAUGGCGGUGCUGCAGGGACCCGUCCAGGCUGCUAUAUGGCAAGCACUAAACCACUAUGCCUACCGAGAUGCGGUUUCCCCCGCAGAACGCCUUUAUGCAGAAGUACACUCAGAAGAAGCCUUGUUCUUACUGGCGACCUGUUCUUACCGCUCAGGAAAGGCCUAUAAAACAUAUAGACUCUUGAAAGGACACAGUUGUACUACCCCGCAAUGCAAAUGCCUGCUUGCGAAAUGUUGUGUUGAUCUCAGCAAGCUUGCAGAAGGGGAUCAAAUCUUAUCGGGUGGAGUGUUUCAUAAGCAGAAAAGCCACGAUGAUAUUAUCGUUCCUGAGUUUGGUGAUUCAGCUCGCUUUCCCCUUCCAUCGUCGGGACAUGUAUAUUGCAAGACAGAUCGGCUUACCAAAGGAUCAGAAUGUGACCAAAAGAGCCUUCGUUGAAAUCCUUUCCUCUGGUGUCCCUUUGAAUCAUGAUGUGAAAUAGGGGGGAAAAGCCAGAUCCUGACCAAACAUUUUGAUUCACCUCUCUAGAGAGCUUUAGCAACUGCCUGUCCAAGUGUUGCGCCACAACACUUGGACCUCGUCCUAGUUUAUGUCACAGACAGCCCGAGACCGUUCUUACGGAAACACCCCAGGACACCGUCGAAUGAAACGGAUGGAAUUUAGAAUCUUCCAAUUCAAAGUACUCCUUGAAUACAGACUCCCCAGUGUCUUCUAUCGAUUCAGCUGUCCUUUCACCUGAUACUGUCCCACUGGGAACAGGAACUUCCAUAUGAUCUAAACAGGUUCAACAUAAACCAAAAACUGGUCGAAGUUUAUUAGGAGGACCAGCAGCUGUUAGUCCAUUAACCCCAAGUGUUGGCAUUUUGCCAUUAGAAACCCCAAGUCCCGGAGACGGACCCUAUUGACAAAACUGCACUGGUAUGAGACACCGUCUGUCAUUGACGUGCCAUCCACCGGAGCCCCUUCAAAAAAGCCUGUUGCCAGAAUCGGCCAAACCGGAACACCGUCUGUCUUCUCGCAGAGGGGAAAGAGCCGAAAGGUAACUCCAGUCCUUGCAAAAACACAAAGUUCUGGUCCGCCGACAAGGGCAACACCUCAGGUAUUGAGCCCCACUAUGGCAUCUCCCCCAAAUGCACCGCCUCGAAGAAAUUCACGACUCUUGACUAGUGACAGCUCCACAACCGAGGAGAAUAGGAGAAAAUUAAAAAUGAAGUUUCCACCUAAAAUCCCAAACAGAAGAACCAAAAGUAAAACUAAUAAAGGAGCAAUAACUCCACCGAACAUAAGUGAUAGCCUGGAAGUGACAAAAUUGGACUCUUCCGUCAUUUCAGAAGGGAAAAUAGCCACAAUCGCGCCUCAGAUUCAGGCUUUUAAUCUACAAAAAGCAGCAGCGGAAGGCUUGAUGAGCCUUCUUCGUGAAAGGGGGAAAGGUUAUUUAGCUUUGUGUUCUUACCACGGCAAAGAAGCUAUCAGCAUCUUGAGCCAUCUAGCUUCUCACCACUGCAAUACCGGUUGGGUACUGUGCCAAAUCGGAAGGGCCUAUUGUAAACUUUCAGAGUCCACGCAAGCUGAAAGACAAUUCUCAGAGGUUAGGAGGAUUGAGAAUUACAGAGUCGAAGGCAUGGAGAUCUACUCUACAACACUUUGGCAUCCUCCGAAAGAGGUUGCUCUUUCAGUUCUGUCCAAAGACUUCACAGACAUGGAUAAAAAUUCGCCAGCCAGAGGCCUGGUGUGCUGCAGGGAACUGUUUCGGUCUGCAACGGGAACACGAUAUUGCGAUUCAAUUCUUCCAGAGAACUCUCGAAGUGGAUCCAAAUGAUGCUUAUGCCUAUAGCGCAUUAGGGCGUGAGCUUGUCUUCACUGAAGAACUGGACAAAGCAUUAGCUUGUUUUCGAAAUGCUAUCAGGGUCAAUCCUAGACAUUGUAAGGCAUGGUAAGUGCUAAUGAAGCGUAAAGACAAAGCCCUAUGGAUGGUGCCGGUACUCGCUAAUUUUUCUGGUUAGAUAGCUCUUUAUUGUCACGAAUUUGGUGAAAAAUACUUAGGGAUGGUACCUACUGCUGAAUAACUUCUAACUAAGAUGUUUCCUUACGAAACGUAUGUCUUGAACAAACUCUGAAGUGAACUCAUGAUCGUAGAAUACCAGAUCCUUAUACUCAACAGUUUCAGUCUUCUAGCAAACUUUUGCAGACGCUGUAGUUGUCUUUGGUUUGUGUGUGUGUUUCUUUAGUUGUGUUCCUUGAUUUGUUACUUUUUCUUCGAGCACCGAAGUGGUGAUGGGGACAAGAAGUGCUUGGGAGACUGGAAAGGAAUAGCAUAGUUCACUUAUUGGAUAAUAGAAAAAUACAUGGAAACAAUUCACUAGCUGCUGCUUUUUGACAGUGUUCCAGUUUACGGAGUUACUAUGAAGAACUUCACGUACCCUUUAAUUUAGCAGUCUCUCUGUUUUACUCUUUUGUACUCGUGUAUAAGUAGGCACAUAGGAAAUUACUACCUAGGUCAUAUUGUUAUCAACUGAAUAAGAUAGGAAAAAGUGUGGUCCUACUUCUGCCUCAACACCAUCCUCACCGUUGACAUUUAUUGCGUUUCUCUGGACUGACUUCAUAGUUUAAACGUCAAGAGAAGGCCGGGCUCAGUGGCUCACGCCUGUCAUCCCAGCACUUUGGGAGGCCGAGGCGGGCGGGUCACGAGGUCAAGAGAUCGAGACCAUCCGGGCCGACACGGUGAAACCCCGUCUCUAUUAAAAGUAUAAAGAUUAGCUGGGCGUGGUGGCGGGCACCUGUAGUCCCAGCUACUCGGGAGGCUGAGGCAGGAGAAUCGCUUGAACCCAGGGAGGUGGCGGUUGCAGUGAGCCGAGAUCACACCAUCGCACUCCAGCCUGGGCGACAGAGCGAGACGCCGUCUCAAGAGAAAUAAAUUAAAAAAAAUAAAUACAUACAUAAGUAAAUAUCAAGAGAAAGUAUGAUUCUGAAGUCAUAACCCUGUGGUAGUUAUUUUGUCAGAUACGGUGAUCUUUGGGGUGACUUAUUACAGCAGUGGAGUUCUAUCAUUUGAUUUGCUUCUAAAUCUGAAGCAUUAUAUUACUGAAACACUUUUUGAUUUGCGAAUAUGUUGUUUAAUGGAUCAUAUCUCAUUUUGCUGUAGUAGUUACAUUGCCCGAAAGAUGGCCAAAAAGAUAGUGCCAGCUACUGCUGACCAACGUAACAAUCAACUUGCCAAUACUGCCUUCUCUUCCGAUAGCUACGUUCUCCGUCCUAUUUUAAGAACUCAGUUCUUCAUAAGACUUGUGUGGUUUUCGAUUUUUUCCCAAGUCUGGUUGAUCCUUGUGUUGUUAUUUUUUUAAAUGUGUAUCGUCUGUUCAGCUAUUUUGCAGGAGUCGCAUUCUUAAAAAAAUCUUAACCCUAUCAAAAAUUGUGUUUGUUUAAAGGAGGAUUAUUCAGAUUGGCCAGCUUUUACUAGGAAGAGUGUAAAUGCUGACGUAUUUAGGUAGCUCUAAAUACUGAGCAACUUUAUUCUAACCACAAAAUAGAUAGCCUUUCUUUUGUCUUCACUUUCACUAUCAUUAGCACAGUGUUUAAUACCGUUUCUUCAUCUAUAACACAAUUAUAAUGAUAUAGGAAGCCACUCAAAUAAGGCAGACAUGUUGCGUUGCGCUUAAAAAAAAAAAAAAAAAGAAGUCUCUCUGUGGCACGGAAUGAGGUGUGGCUCGAAUCUAGAAUCUCCAGUGAAAACCAAUGAAAGAGGGUGAAACCCCGUGUCUACCAAAAAAAAAAAAAAAAAAAAAAAAAAAAAAAAAAAAAAAAAAAUGAGCCGGCCAUGGUGGCGCUGAAACAGGAAAAUCACUUGAACCCAGGAGGCAAAGGUUCCAGUGAGCUGAAAUCACGCCACUGCACUCCAGCCUGGGGGACAGAGCAAGACUCCAUCUCAGAAACAAACAAACACACAAAGCCAGUCAAGGUGUUUAAUUCGACGGUGUCAGGCUCAGGUCUCUUGACAGGAUACAUCCAGCACCCGGGGGAAACGUCGAUGGGUGGGGUGGAAUCUAUUUUGUGGCCUCAAGGGAGGGUUUGAGAGGUAGUCCCGCAAGCGGUGAUGGCCUAAGGAAGCCCCUCCGCCCAAGAAGCGAUAUUCAUUUCUAGCCUGUAGCCACCCAAGAGGGAGAAUCGGGCUCGCCACAGACCCCACAACCCCCAACCCACCCCACCCCCACCCCUCCCACCUCGUGAAAUGGGCUCUCGCUCCGUCAGGCUCUAGUCACACCGUGUGGUUUUGGAACCUCCAGCGUGUGUGCGUGGGUUGCGUGGUGGGGUGGGGCCGGCUGUGGACAGAGGAGGGGAUAAAGCGGCGGUGUCCCGCGGGUGCCCGGGACGUGGGGCGUGGGGCGUGGGUGGGGUGGCCAGAGCCUUGGGAACUCGUCGCCUGUCGGGACGUCUCCCCUCCUGGUCCCCUCUCUGACCUACGCUCCACAUCUUCGCCGUUCAGUGGGGACCUUGUGGGUGGAAGUCACCAUCCCUUUGGACUUUAGCCGACGAAGGCCGGGCUCCCAAGAGUCUCCCCGGAGGCGGGGCCUUGGGCAGGCUCACAAGGAUGCUGACGGUGACGGUUGGUGACGGUGAUGUACUUCGGAGGCCUCGGGCCAAUGCAGAGGUAUCCAUUUGACCUCGGUGGGACAGGUCAGCUUUGCGGAGUCCCGUGCGUCCUUCCAGAGACUCAUCCAGCGCUAGCAAGCAUGGUCCCGAGGAUCCCAGCUCCCAGCAGAGGCACUUUUGGUCACACAGGAUCCUGGGCAGGAAAGUUCUCAGCAGGCUUAGGCCUCCUAGCCAAAAAGCCAAAACCACUUCUGGGAUUUUUUUCAAAGAGCCAGUGGUUCCACAAGGGGCCGUGGGUAGUUGUGGAAAUGGAGAGAAGUGUUUGCACGUACAUAUUUGAGACAGGACGGACAGGGCUCGGUCACAGAUCACUUAGGACACGGGCAGAUGCACAUUGAGAAAACUCUUCCGGCAUCCUAGGGGAACAGAGGUACGAUUUUUCGAGACAGUCGAGGGAGAAGCCACCCCAGAUUUUAGGAUUGGAUCUUUAUUCAUAUGUAGUUUCUAUGAGGUAUCCAAGUCCAGAAAUCAACUCGCCAGUUCUGUACAGCAUUCUGUAGGGAGAUCAAAUCUGGGAUGUCAGAAGUGAAGAAUUCAGGCCUUGGUAAGGGAUUAGAUUAGAUGUACUUGAGCUUCUUUUGCAAAAAAAGAGAGGGCGGGGGAUAGCGAGAGCCAGAGACCGAGACAGACAGACGGACAGACAGACAGAGAGAGAGAGAGAGAGAGAGAGACAGAGAGACAGAGACAGAGACAGACAGAGAGAGACAACGAUACACAGAGAGAGAAAGACAGAAAGAGAGAGAGAGACAGAUAAAGAGACAGACGGAGAGAGACAGAUAAAGAGACAGACGGAGAAAGACAGAGAUGGACAGAGACAGAGAGAAACAGAAAGAGAGAGAAACAGACAGGAAGGGAGAGAGACAGGCAGAGAGAGAGAGACAAACAGACAGGCAGACAGACAGGCAGAGAAAGAGAGUAAGACAGAAGGCAGACACACACACACACACACACACACAUACACACACACACACACACCCCCACAGAGAGAGAGAGACAGAGAGAGAGACAGAGACAGACAGAGAGACAGAGAGAAAGAGACAGAGAGAGAAAGACAGACAGAGAGAAACAGACAGAAAGAGAGACACAGACAGAGACAGAGAAACAGCCGACAGGGGGGAGAGAGAGAGAGAGACAGACAGAGAGAGACAGACAGACAGACAGGCAGAGAAAGACAGUAAGACAGAAGACAGACACACAGAGAGAGAGAGAGAGACAGAGACAGAAAGAAAGACAAAGACAGAGAGAGAGAGAGAGAGAGAAACAGACAGGGGGAGAGAGAGAGAGAGACAGACAGACAGGGAGAGAGAGAGAGAGAGACUAAGACAGAAGACAGACACAGUGAGAGAGACAGAGACAGAGAGAAGGAAAGACAAAGACAGACAGACAAAGAGACAGACAGAGAAAGACAGAGACGGACAGAGAGACAGAGAGAAACAGAAAGAGAGAGAGAGACACACAGAGAGAGAGAGUGAGAGAGACAGGCAGGCAGAGAGAGAGAGUAAGACAGAAGACAGAGUGAGAGAGACAGGCAGAGAGAGACAGAGAGAAGGAAAGAGAGAGACAGUCAGAGAAAGACAGAGACGGAGAGAGAGAAACAGAAAGAGAGAGAGAGACAGAGACAGAGAGAAACAUACAGACAGGGAGAGAGAGAGAGAGAGACCGACAGACAGACAGAGAAAGGGAGUAAGACAGAAGACAGACACAGUGAGAGAGACAGGCAGAGAGAGAGAGAGAGAGAGAGGCAGAGAGAGAGAAACAGACAGGCAGAGAGAGAGAGACACAGAGAGAGAGAGAGAGAGAAGACAGACAGAGAAAGAGAGAGACAGAGACAGACAGAGAGACAGAGAGAGGGGGAGGAAGGGCGUGCUCAAGAAAUAAUCACACAUAUUUUAUAAUGCUUUUGAUCCCAUAAACGGUGGCCGGGGUAUACUUUGAAAACAACGACAACGACAACAACAACGACAACGACAACAGCAACGACGACAACAACAACAACAACAACAGCAACAAGAGCAGCAGCAGCAUUCGCCUACGGAUUUCUAGAAAAUAAGAUGUCAUGAUGAAGGAUAGUAAACAUCAACCGGCUCUCACUGCACGUUGAGAGAGUCACAAAAGCGCUAGUUCACAACAGGAAAAAACGGCAGCUAACGUGUCUUGGGGAAAAUAGACGUCUUCCUGAAAACUGGGGAUUUCUACUUCACCUGAAAAGAAAGACAUACGAGAAAGGAAAAACACGAACAAAACAAAACAGAACGAAACAAAACAAGCCAACAAACACGGGCCAAGGCGCCGUCCCUGGAAAUCUUAAGUGAGCAAAGUUAUUAGUUUUCAGAAAGCGUUUCUAUUUUGGGCAAGUACUGAGAAGGCCCAGACUAGAGCCGUGGCGCCCUUCGCAUUGUGAAACUCUGCUGGCCGGAGGGCGGAGAAACUAAAACAUCGUGAUAAAAGGUGACCGAGACCCAGCCAGGGUGAAGCUUUCCUAGGGAGGGAGGCCUGAGGCGGGAAGCAGCGGGGGGAAAAGCCUCACAACUGCAGACCCGCCCGCUUGCCCACGCGGGUCAAGGGGCUAUGCCAUCGGCCCAAGCUGCCUCCGGGGAAGUGGGACCGUGCCGCCCCCAUCUUCAAAAACGGUGGCCCCCGAGUGAGGCCUGACGCCCACCGAUGCAAAUGUCAGCCUGGCAAGAAUGAGAUCGCCGGCAAGGGGUGGGGGAAGGGGAGAGAAGACGGAGGCACACCGGGGUGGCUCUGGAAGGUUUCCAAGCAGGGUGUUGGGAGGCGGGGGGGGGGGGGGCGGUUUGGGGGAAACCCACCUAACCGACUCACUAAAUUAAGGUGAAGGGACGUGGGUAGUGGGGGGAGCCGGGGGGCAACUUGAAAAUUAAACUGACCCUUCCCAAAGCCCAAGUAGAAGAGUCUAGGCGCCAAAACACAAAGAAAAGUAAAGCGCCGAUCAAAGAACAAUAGGGCCCCCGCCAGGGCGGAGGUUCCCUAGGCGAGGUUCCCUAGGCAACGAGGGAGAGAGGGAGGGGCCUCCAGAAGGGAGAGAGAGAAACCCGUUGCCCCAGGCUCGGUGAAGUCGGCGAGACCUCCCUCCGUGUCACGUCGACUUUCAAUAACAGUGGCCGCUAGGUGAUGCCCGAAGACAACCGAUGCCUGCCUGCAAAUGUCCGUCAGCAGGGAAAAGAAUUAAUGAAUUAAUUAAUUUCCGUAUUUAUUUAGAGACCGAGUCUCACUCACUCUACAGCCUGGGCCGUAGUGCAGUGGCGCGAUCUCGGCUCCCUGCAGCCUCCGCUUCCCUGGUUCAAGCGAUUCUCCCGCCUCAGCCUCCCGAGGAGCUGGCAUUACAGGGGCCUGCCCCACCGCUCCCGACUCAGCUUUGUAUUUUUAGUAGAGACGGGGUUUCGCCGUGUUGCGUCCGGCCUUAACAGUUUAUGUUGAAGUCGAGGAGCUUAUCGGGGAAAUAGGAGAAGUACGGACGCCACACGUGACCGAGAGAAAAGUCUGAAAAUGCCCCUCGCAUCCAAGCGGGGACCCGGCCUCGACCUCCCGAAAUCGUACACCGAGUGGGGAAGCCCAGCAAGGCCCGCCUGUCUAGAUUCCUCUCGGCCUCUCUAAGCACCGAAGCACGCGCUUCUCACUCUCGUGGAAGGGGCAGGGCCCUACCCGGCACGGGGGUGUCUGACAGACUGACAGAGAAAGAGACAGACAUAGAAAGACAGAGAUGGACAGCGAGAGAUAGAGAGAAACAGACAGAA